AUUGAACGCUGGCGGCAUGCUUUACACAUGCAAGUCGAACGGCAGCAUAGGUGCUUGCACCUGAUGGCGAGUGGCGAACGGGUGAGUAAUAUAUCGGAACAUGUCCGGAAGUGGGGGAUAACGUAGCGAAAGUUACGCUAAUACCGCAUAUGCCCUGAUGGGGAAAGGGGGGGAUCGUAAGACCUACCGCUUUCGGAGGGGCCGAUAUCGGAUUAGCUAGUAGGUGAGGUAAAGGCUCACCUAGGCGACGAUCCGUAGCUGGUCUGAGAGGACGACCAGCCACACUGGGACUGAGACACGGCCCAGACUCCUACGGGAGGCAGCAGUGGGGAAUUUUGGACAAUGGGCGCAAGCCUGAUCCAGCCAUGCCGCGUGAGUGAAGAAGGCCUUCGGGUUGUAAAGCUCUUUCAGCUGGAAAGAAAUCGUAUCUAUUAAUACUAGGUGCGGAUGACGGUACCAGCAGAAGAAGCACCGGCUAACUACGUGCCAGCAGCCGCGGUAA
rnacentral:rRNA from 1 species